CCCACAGAGGUGAAUAAACCUCCCAGGCUCCAUCACAGGAAUCAGACUGGGAACUGGGCUGGUCUUUGCAGGAUGAAGCUCUCUAUCAGAAUGGCUAGGACUCCAAGGAGGAAAGAUUUCCAUGGCACAGGGAAACACUGAAACCCUGCAAUGGGGAAACUGCGUCAUUUUCCACAUCAGAGUAAAGUUCAGACUUCAGAACGAUUUCAUCAAAGUCGGAUUCAGGAAUCUGCGCAAAGCCACAGGAACGAGAUAAACUGGGGAGAGGCUUUUGGCUUCCAAGAUCAAAGACAAACCUGAAGGAUUCAAGGCCGGAGCCAGAGAGGGCGGUGUUAGACUGCCCACUGUGUUCCUAUCCCUGCCUCAUCCCUGCAGCAGGAGAACGCUCUUCCCCAGGAUCCUGGGCUGACUGUGGACGAGCAUGAAAGCAGGGUUUCGACUAACAGCUCUCACCAACUAUCACCAACACGGAUGAAUUAAGACUCCAGGUGGGCACAUUGACAUUUUCUAGACAUAAAAGUUGGAGCUAGAUAGAUGAAUGCCCUGUCCCAAGAUACCAGAAAGCAAAACUAUGAAGAAUGGAAAGGUUGAGAAGUCUCUCUGCCUGGAAACAGGGGAAGCGAUGAGGAUACGCACGACCAGCAGUUUGGGUAGGAGGAACACUGAUGUCGGAGCUGGGCCAUACAAAUCCUGUCUUUGGAGGCAAGUGACUGAACUUCUCUGAGCCUUGGUUUUGUUGGGUGUAAAAUGGGAAGAUAAUGGCUGCAUUGGGGAGGUUUGUGAGGACCGAUUAGAUAACAAACGUGAAGCCCUGAUGCAGUGCUGGAGGGUCAGAAGCCCAAGAGGAAACGUUACCCACCACAGGUGGUUCAGUUGAAGUGAGCACAUUGAAGGGGCUGUUUAGAUGAGUGGGGGUGCGGCUAAAGGAACAGGCAAGGUAUCCGGGUCUGGCCAGGCCUGUGGGGCUGAAGGAACCUCGGGAGAAGAGUGUGACCAGAAGCCAGUGACCGUUAGUGCCAUGUAGGAAGGACCACUAGCUGGAGUCCUGGUUGUAGCUACUGCUGGUGACACAACACCAAAGAAAGAGGAAGAGAAAAAUGAAGGUUCCCUCCCCAUCAAGCCGCAGCCCUCCAGUCUCCUGCCGUUGCCUCCAAGGGCCAAGCCCAACCAGAAGCCAGUGACAAGGGGCUCUGAGUGAUACAGCCCGGAAGGAGGUCCAGCCCAUGGUAGGCAAACACUCAAAGGGACUCCAGGGGAUUCUGGCCAAGGAAUCCAGAAACAAAGAAUCCGCCUGCCAAUGGGGUUCAGUUUCUGACCUGGGAUGAUCCCAGACGCCCACAGAGCAACAGAGCCCGGGAACCACAACUACCGACGCCCACGUGCCCUAGAGCCUGUGCUCCGCAAGGAGAGGAGCCACUGCAAAGAGAAGCAGCCCACACUGCAGCCAGAG